GUGCUCGCUUCUACAGCACAUAUACUAAAAUUGGGAUGAUACAGAGAUUAGCAUGGCCCCUGCACAAGGAUGACACACAAAUUCAUGGAGCAUUUCAUAUUUUU
ensembl:snRNA U6 U6 spliceosomal RNA